AACGUGACCGGGAGGCGGGGCCAUAAUAUUUCACGUUACCCUUUUGAGCACGAGCACGCAGAUUGUAGGCCCCACCGAUGCCCCUGUUCGUUUGCAAGAUUCCCGGCAGGAUUGAGAGGGAUUUGAGGCGGUCGGUCAGGCGGAGGCGAAGCCCGAAGAGUCCUCCGCUGCAUGGGUAUGGCCUCCUUCCACCUCCUCCACUCCCAUGGCAAGCGCGCGGCGGCGGGGGAUAGGCCGUGACCUCCGGCCAGCGAGCUCCGUGUAGGCGAGCGGGACGAGGAGGCAGGCGAGGACGUGCUGCACCUUGUUCGGGGCGAACCACUGUCGCCCCGCUCCAGCCGGGGCUCCUGCCGGCGAGACACUCCGCGAGCGCGAGCCAAGGCAGGCGAGGACCUCGACCCCCUCUUCCUAUUCCCCCUUUUUUUUGUUUUCUCUUCUUAUAUCUUUUCCAAUUUAUUUCGAGGAGAUGUGGAACGGAUCUGGUGCGAUGCAGGCUCUUGAUUGGGAUGUGUAGCUGCACACAUUUCGUGCUUGCGGUGCGGUUCCUCUAAAAGGCUGAGAUUCUGAAUUUUUUUUCCUUUCUAUCUGGUAAGGUUUUCUUGGAUGAAUCCUUCAAUGAUUCACUUCUUUCUCCUAGAUUUGAUAGAUUUGAUCUCUCUCAUCGGAGCAGAACAUUGGAGUCUAAAUGUUUAUUUCGUUAAUUAACUUUUGAUGGCUCAGAUGACAGUUGCUGGAGUUUGUGCAUCCGUAGUUGUUCGUCUUUGAUGGAAGCUACAAUUAUCUGUACCAGGAAGGGGAGUGGCGCCCGAGGAGUGCCCAGGAGUGGUGGUGGAAGGCGAGGGGAGGCGCGUGACAACCCGGAAGACAUCCGCCCGCUGGCUCUCACCGUCUCGCUGGACGGACAUCGAGGGCUCCCGCUUGGUGGCUGAUAUCAAGCGGCUUGUUCUGGUCUCUUCCGUGAGGUUAUAUGUAUUUAUGUCUCUGUUGUUCAUUUGAAGUCAGAGGUCUGUUAGUUCAAUGCCUGAAGCUAUGUUUAUUGACUUCGUACUGGCCAAACAGCGGAAUGGUCAUCGUUACCAUUUGUAAUGGCAUAUUCAAUUGAUUUUCAUAUUCGGAAUAGUAUGCUGAUUGAUGUAACGACUGUUGUGUCAGAACAAACUGUCGCUGCAGAUCGUGCAGGUAACAGGUCUCGUGGACGGAGUAUCUGCCGCCAGGCCAGGGGGGUCCUAUUUGGUGAAAAUUGUCGUGAUGGAUCGUCGGUGACUGAUUCCACCUUCAGAUAAAUACAUCCUGAUUGAACCGAGGCGUACAUAUUACAACAUGGAAGCAAUUAGGUGUGGUACUAUUUUAUAAUUUAGAAGCUCAACAUGGAUGUCUUCCACACUAGUGAUGACUGAUGCGUGACUGCUUCCGCCGUUCCGCGAUUCGAUGGCAAGUCCCAGCAAUAGAGGAGCUCGGCUGGUGUUUGGUGUAGACAGCUCAAAACAAAUGGGCAAACAAUACCCACCCAAUUUGACGAUAUACUAACGAAACUGAAAGUUGUAUGCAAUCCUCUAAGUCCAUUAAAACAGAAGUUGAGAUUGUAAGCAGUUUCCUGAUUAUACACCUUUUUUUUUUGAGGGGAUCCUGAUGGUAGACCUAAGAAAGAUAAACCUGCAAAAGAUGAAGUUGGUAUCGGGCCUCAAGGAAGAUGGACGAGCAGGCGUGUAAGGCUUCUGCGACCUCUCUUCCGGCCGCGGCUACGGCGAUCGUGACUCCUCUCAGACCCAGCUGCCUGCACCAUGCUCCACCUCAUCGGCUACUUCGUCGUGCUCCACCUCAUUCUGCUUAGUACUGAAGUCUUUUCCAGUGGCGUUUUAGUCAUAAUUUCUUAAUGAUCAAAUGAAUGCUGAAUGUAACUCUGAAAUAUAAUAACUUCACCAUGCCAUCAUUAGAAAAUAUUUUAUAUAGAAACACUUUGCAACAUGUGCUGUUACUGAGAAUAUCCAAUUGUGGGAAUAUAACUUGAGAAUUAAUCAAAUUGUUAUGUUUUACUUUC